GAUGAAGAACGUAGCGAAAUGCGAUAAGUAAUGUGAAUUGCAGAAUUCAGUGAAUCAUCGAAUCUUUGAACGCACAUUGCGCCCGCCAGUAUUCUGGCGGGCAUGCCUGUCUGAGCGUCAUUUCAACCCUCAUGCCCCUAGGGCGUGGUGUUGGGGAUCGGCCAAAGCCCGCGAGGGACGGCCGGCCCCUAAAUCUAGUGUCGGACCCGUCGUGGCCUCCUCUGCGAAGUAGUGAUAUUCCGCAUCGGAGAGCGAUGAGCCCCUGCCGUUAAACCCCCAACUUUCCAAGGUUGACCUCAGAUCAGGUAGGAAUACCCGCUGAACUUAAGCAUAUCAAUAAGCGGAGGA
rnacentral:misc_RNA from 1 species